UUUUCAUCCUGACUGUGUGGUUGCAGGUGUUUGCCAUGUGUCUUUUGAGUAAUGUUCAAUGCAAUGGCAGCUGAAGCAGCAUGGGAGAGAGGAAGGUAAAUGCACUUUAUUCUAUGACGGGCCAUUCAGGGUUCAGUAUCUUGCUCAAGGACACUUCGGCAUGCAGAUGGGGAAGACUGGGAUCGAGCCGCCGGCUUUGUGGUUGGAUGACAAUCAGCCACAGCUGCCCUUAAGGUUACAAGGACACUUCAGCAUGCGGACUAGAGAAAACUGGGAUCAAACUGCAAACCUUCUGCUUAGAGGAUGACCGCUCUAACCCCUGAGCCACAGGGACAGAAGCUACUGCAGAGAGAGUCAAAGUCAAAGUCAAAGUGAACUUUAUUGUCAUUCAGACCUUACAACAAGAAGUGCACAGCAGAAUGAAAUUGGGUUUCUCCUAGCUCCAUGUGCAUGUAGGAUGUAAGGGCGGAAGACAGCAGCCCACAGAGGCAACAGGUGAGACUGACAGCAAAUAACCCCCUCCCAAUGGCUAAAAAAUGUACAUUUGAUUGACAAAAUUUUAAAAAGAAAUGUUAGCAUCCUUAAAGGCCUCCCUAUUAAAACUAAAGUAAAAUCCAAUGAUCCACUGUGUCAAAUGCUUGUUGCAUGUCAAGAAUUACCAUUCUACAACACCGGCCACUGUCAACUUCCUUUUAGAUGUGAUUGGUUAUAUGAAUCAUGCAAAUCUCAACUGAAUAACACCAAGGCCCAAUCCCAUUUCACCCCUUGGCCCCUUAGCCCAUCCUCUUCGUUUUGCGCAUUCACGUGUAGGGGUAGGCUGUCCCAAAACCUGUUGGGACAGAGGGGUAUGGCCGAGGCGUAGGACUUUAUAGCCCUCGAAACUGAAGUUUCUGAAGCUUGAGGGUGGGUCAUGGGUCGCCUACUGGUUCGAUCACUCCUUUAGUCAAACAGUACAUUUCCCCUGAUGGUUGUACUGACAGUGUAUCAUAGAAAAAGGUUGUAUGAAUGUGUGUGUCAAUAAGACUGGAAAUGAGCUAUAGAAAUACACUCAAUGUAUUACAGGCUUAUUUAGUUUUAUAAUGUUUAAGCAGCGAACACCUCUGCAGCAUCUCUUCCAAGCAUCUGAACCUUCUCUAUGUUUUUCCUGAAGUAAAACUUAUUGGCCUCAUCUAACAUUCUUUGCACUUUUUUUCCGAGGGUAUUGUAUUUAUUAUGUAAAAUGGGCACAUUGUUUCCUUCUUUCUCUUUAUUCAUUUUUUCGAUCAUUUCUUUCAUCAUCUACGACAGAGUCCUCUGUUUAAUCCUCGCCUAUUUUAACUGAGCUCGAAUCUGUAUUUAUCUGAUACAAAAGAUUCGCGGUAGUUGGACUGUGCACACUGAUUCUAGUAGGUUCAUUUAUCAAUUGUGGAGGACCAAGUAUCUUAAAGAGGUUUUACAGUUUAUUGUAAUAUGGACAAUUUUCACUAAAAAAAAUGUAUAUUAGUAGCCAUCUUGGAGGAUAACAAAUUACUUCAGUUAAAAAAAUCAUAACAGGCAUAGAUAUUUCAGGGCAGAUCAGGGCAAUCAGGUAUAUAGCACUGAUCAGUAUUGGUUUACUUUUAAGAAGAAAAAUAUAAUUUACUUCUUCAAGGUCAUUAGUUAAUUAAAAUCUUUUUGUUUAAGUCUAUAUUCACGUAAUGAUUUCAAGCUCAGUUAAGAUCAUGGGAAGUAUUGUCAGACUACUGCAUCUACCCAGUGCUUUUAAUAUAAAAAGUUUGAUAUAUUAUUUGAUCGAUACACUGUCCAGUGUCAGUGAAAUAUUCUGCCACAACAGGAAUGCCACAAUCAAAUAAAAGCAGGGGUUUCUUUUCUUUUAUUAACAAUAAGGUAGAACUGUUACUGACAAAUAGCUAACAACUCUUAUUAUCUAUGUUGCUUUCACUGUUCGAAGGGGAGUAGACCUAAUCAGAAAACAAUAGGGGUAGGACAAUAUAUUGAUUCAGCAAUAUAUUGUCAUUGUUCCUCAAGAGAUACAAUUAUCGAUAUGCUGGUGCCAAAUAUCAACAUUAAGUUAUAGUUGGACUUUGGUUGGUUCAUAGCUAUUUUACAUUAGAAUGACAGCACAUGCUGACAUUGACAGUGGUUUAAAGAGGUAUAAAGAGGCACUGAGGUCAGACUUUUUUGUCUUGUUUCAUCUCAGUUUGUGUCAAACUGACAACAAAGUGCAGUUAAUAAAUACACAACUCCUGCACAUUACCUCUUCAGAGGCAUUUUGUAUUCUUCAGUAAGACAGAUCCAAUCAUGUAUCGUUAUGUUAUGUCUCGCAAAAUAUCAAUUAUAGCAGAAUGCAAUUGCGAUGUUAUAGUUAUAGUGGGCCAUGUAUUGUAUUGGAAAAAUUAACUAAGAGUGGUUGAAACUUUUUGCAGACCUGCCUAAGACUCCAUGACCUUAAAUGUUUAUGACCUGAAACCUGUUUGACCUUUCCAUUACUUAUUGACUGUCCAAAGAACCUAAUGGAAAUGUAUUUAAAUCAUUUGUUACUGUGCUUUAGUUCCUGUCUAAACCUACCCUACAGAACCAGUCUGAACUGGCUCAGGAAAACUUCCUUGUCCUCCUGUAUAAGACCCUUGUAUUUGACUGUUCUCCAUCUUCACUCUGAGAUCCUUAGGAAUUUUGGUGUGUUGAUCCUUUCUGCAGAAAGCCCCUUAUUAAAUACACGUAGAUAA